AAAGUUCGGGUUUGCAAUGGCGCUCCUAAGUCCUGUUUGUGGCUCUAGCUCCCGUUUAUCCCACAGCCCAGCAGCCAGGGAUGAAAUACCAGCCUGCCUCAGGGAGCUCAUAGUUGAAUGGUAGGCAGCAGGGACGUGAGAUGCAGAGGAUACUAAGGCCAAAAGGAGCCUUGUAUUCAUCUAGCCUAACCCGAGUAACACAGGCCAUUCAAUGGCACUCACUAUUUCCCACUAGAGUAGAUCUUUUUAGAAAAAUAUCCUGUCUUGAUUUAAAGACUCCAUGUGAUGGAGAUUUUACUGCAUCCCUUGGCAAAAUUAUUCUAAUAGAUCACUGAUUAAAAAUAUUAAAUAGCAUUGGGCCAAGAACCAAGGCUUGAGCGACCCCCAGUUGAUGAUAUUUAAUGAAUGGCUGACACCGACUGGCAGAUUUCUUUUCAACUUGAGUGGAGAUUUAAAGCAGGAGAGGGCAGUUACUGGCCAUCCAGAUCAGUUGAGGGAGGCAUUCAGUGAAAAAGGAGUAGCAUGGAAGGUGUGAGAAGCUGAUGGACAGGGAG